rnacentral:lncRNA from 1 species
AGAAAAAACCAGGUUUUAUUUAUGAUACAGUGAGGAUGGAAUGUAAGUACAAACGCUGAAAGCACCUGAAGCAGGAGUGAGGUGAACUGUUGAAAAUCAACUGCCAUUGCUAUAAAAAUCUCUUCAAUUUCAGGUUUAAGCAUUCAGGUACAUAAUCAGACUAUGCCAGUAGAAAUUUGCAACUGAUCCAUUUCCCCACUUCCCUGUCUCUUGCAGUGGUGACAGACAACUUAGGGCUAAAUUGCUUCUCUGGAAGGAAAGAGCUAGCCAUUCUGGCCAUUUAUCAAGCCUGGCAUGCAAUAACCUGGCUCUCUAUGGGGAAAGAUGGUUCCAAAUUAAUGCUUUGCUUCCUUCCCCUUUGCUUUUGCAAGGAUGGCUGUGUGCAAGUUGGUGGUGGUUAUGCCAUUGCUGUGUCCCCAGCUGCCGGGACAGCAUGCCUUCGGACAGACAAGUGGCAGUCCUGGACGUUCUGUGCUUGAAGGUCAUGUGGCAUUGAGCAAUAUGCUCUCCUGCAAAGCCUACCCUAUGUGCAAUAGCUGCUCCAGCAGUAAUGGUUAAAACCUGCAAUGAGUGGCUUGGUUUCAGAGGGGAAAAGCUGCAAUUGAAAAACCAACCAGUGCCACUGCUGUGCGGGUAGUGUGACAUGGAUGGAUGUCCACAACACAGCAAGGAGCAAGAGACCUUUGUAAUGAUCCUGGGGUAUGUCUAGAAAAAAUUUAUCAAGCUUGUAAAAUAAAAUGCUGAUCUUCAGCAUUCAGUCUCCUAACUGAAAGAGGAAGAGUUGCAUUUUGUGGUCACUGUUCUUGGGAGGCCUGUGGGCUUCUCUGCUCUUGCCAGUGGUUAAGUGCUAAAGCAUUUUUAGGCUUGAAAAAAACCAAACACAAUAAAAAGAUGAUUGUUUUGGGUGUGUUUGAAAUACCCAAGUAUAAAAUACUGAAAUCAAAGUUAGGUUUCAAUGCUGGACAUGAGCACUUACCAAACUAUUUUCGGUAUUUUGCAAGAGUUUCUCUCUCUGAUCACACUGUGUUAAUUUAUGGAACUGGAGCUGUUAGUGUUUACUGUUGUGACAAAUACAGUAAAUGUAAAAGAUACAUAUAUUCUUUUAAAGUAAAUGCAGUUGGUGUCUGACCAAGGUAACCAUUUAUUGAGUUUUUUGGUGUUUCAAAGCUGUGAGUAUUUGUAUCAUUUGGCAAAUGAUGUAAUGUUAGACUAGCAAAAAGUAUAUAUAUAUACUGUAUAGUAGGAGAACACAGCACUAGAUCUGUGUGUUAGACGUGAUUUGUGUUAACAUUUAAUUUGCUUUUACAGACAUUUUUAAAAACUAACUUUCCAUUCAGCUUUUGAGGUAAUAAGUUAAAAAAGCACCAACAUGAUUUAUUCAAAUGUCUAACCCUCGCAGAAGGUUCCACUGUAUAAGAGGCACAUGAUAAGCAGGUUCCUUAUACUGUGAAAGACUUCUAUAAAUUUUUCAUACAGACUUGACAUCUGCUGAUAUGGCUUCGGAUGAGUCCUGCCUUGAGUGUAUCUGCUGAGGGCUUGCUUUGGAAGGGCUGGUCAAUCGUAGUGAGCCAGAAGCUGUAUUUAUUGGCGAAGUAGUGACAGGUUC